rnacentral:tRNA from 1 species
AAGAAAGUGACAGAGUGGUCAUGUGACUGGCUUGAAACCAGUUUAUGGGGGUUCAAUUCCUUCCUUUCUGG